ensembl:lncRNA
GUUUGCCAGGCUAAGGUGCAAAACUGAGCAGAGAAGUUCAAAUACAGAAAUAGAGAUGCAGAAAACAUUGAACUGGGCUCAGAGGCAAUGUGGGAAAACAUAGAGGAAGAAAUUACAGCAUUGUCGGCAUGCUCUGUGAAUUCUGGCUCUUCUUACAGGGUCACGGGGAACCUGGAGCCUAUCCCAGGGAGCAUCAGGCACAAGGUGGGGUACACCCUGGACAGGGUGCCAAUCCAUCGCAGGGCACACACACAAUCACAUACACACUACAGACACUUUGUACAUGCCAAUCAGCCUACCAUGCAUGUCUUUGGACUGGGGGAGGAAACCGGAGUACCCAGAGGAAACCCCUGCAGCACGGGGAGAACAUGCAAACUCCGCACACACUGGGCCACAGUGGGAAUCGAACCCCAGACUCUGUAGGUGUGAGGCGAACGUGCUAACCACUAAGCCACCGUGCACCUUCAUUAAGUAAUAAAGCACAAAAUUGAAUUUGUGGUAACUUAAUUACAUUUGAUUGACAACCGAAUUCCCCCACCCACUUCACAUGCCUGGGUGUCAUGGAAUUAGUGAAUUAGAGGUGGAAUGCAAAUGCAGAAUCUCAGUG